GACGAACGCUGGCGGCGUGCUUAACACAUGCAAGUCGAACGGAAAGGCCCUGCUUUUGUGGGGUGCUCGAGUGGCGAACGGGUGAGUAACACGUGAGUAACCUGCCCUUGACUUUGGGAUAACUUCAGGAAACUGGGGCUAAUACCGGAUAGGAGCUCCUGCUGCAUGGUGGGGGUUGGAACGUUUCGGCGGUUGGGGAUGGACUGGCGGGUUAUCAGCUUGUUGGUGGGGUGGUGGCUUACCAAGGCUUUGACGGGUAGCCGGCAUGAGAGGGUGACCGGCCACAUUGGGACUGAGAUACGGCCCAGACUCCUACGGGAGGCAGCAGUGGGGAAUAUUGCACAAUGGGCGGAAGCCUGAUGCAGCAACGUCGCGUGCGGGAUGACGGCCUUCGGGUUGUAAACCGCUUUCGCCUGUGACGAAGCGGGAGUGACGGUAAUGGGUAAAGAAGCACCGGCUAACUACGUG
rnacentral:rRNA from 1 species